rnacentral:rRNA from 1 species
UACAGAGGGGCAAGCGUUAUUCGGAAUUAUUGGGCGUAAAGGGCGCGUAGGCGGCCUGGCAAGUGGAUGGUGAAAUCCCUCGGCUUAACCGAGGAACUGCCAUCCAGACUGCUUGGCUUGAGACCGGGAGAGGUGAGUGGAAUUCCCAGUGUAGCGGUGAAAUGCGUAGAGAUCGGGAGGAACACCAGAGGCGAAAGCGGCGACCUGGACAGGUACUGACACUCAACUGCGAAAGCGUGGGGAGCAAACAGGG